GAUGAACGCUGGCGGCGUGCCUAAUACAUGCUAGUCGAGCGAACAGACGAGGAGCUUGCUCCUCUGACGUUAGCGGCGGACGGGUGAGUAACACGUGGAUAACCUACCUAUAAGACUGGGAUAACUUCGGGAAACCGGAGCUAAUACCGGAUAACAUGUUGAACCGCAUGGUUCAACAGUGAAAGACGGUCUUGCUGUCACUUAUAGAUGGAUCCGCGCCGCAUUAGCUAGUUGGUAAGGUAACGGCUUACCAAGGCAACGAUGCGUAGCCGACCUGAGAGGGUGAUCGGCCACACUGGAACUGAGACACGGUCCAGACUCCUACGGGAGGCAGCAGUAGGGAAUCUUCCGCAAUGGGCGAAAGCCUGACGGAGCAACGCCGCGUGAGUGAAGAAGGUCUUCGGAUCGUAAAACUCUGUUAUUAGGGAAGAACAAAUGUGUAAGUAACUAUGCACGUCUUGACGGUACCUAAUCAGAAAGCCACGGCUAACUACGUG
rnacentral:rRNA from 1 species